UACAGAGGGUGCGAGCGUUAAUCGGAAUUACUGGGCGUAAAGCGCGCGUAGGCGGUUUUGUAGGUCGGGUGUGAAAUCCCCAAGCUUAACUUGGGAACUGCAUUCGAGACUGCAUAGCUAGAGUAUGGGAGAGGGAAGUGGAAUUUCAGGUGUAGCGGUGAGAUGCGUAGAUAUCUGAAGGAACAUCAGUGGCGAAAGCGACUUCCUGGACCAAUACUGACGCUCAUGUGCGAAAGCGUGGGGAGCAAACAGG
rnacentral:rRNA from 1 species